rnacentral:piRNA from 1 species
UAAACUUUGAUGAGGAUUGGGGAUCAGUGG